AUGGCACUCCCGCUCCGACUCCUCGGCCGCAUCGGCGGCGGCGGCGGCCGCCGCGGCCGCCUCCCGCCGCCGCUCGCCGCCCUCGCCCACCUCUCCGCCGCCUCGCCACACCGAGGCCCCACCCACGAGCCGCCCUCUCCUGCCCCUCUGCAUCGUUUCCCAGCUCCCGCCCCCCCUUUCGCCGUGCCCGCGCGGAGCUUCUCCUGGUACUCCCGCUCCCCCGCCCCCGCCGCGGCUGAGGGGGCCCCGGCUAACGAGGGCGCGAGCGCCGGGAAGGAUUUCGUUUACUUGGACGAUGCGAGUACCGUCGAUUACGGUGAAGAGCUCGCCGCCGCCGCAGGUGGCGCGGCGGAUGCCGCCGUCGGAGUGGCCGCAGGUGGCAAUGGAGGCGGCCUGUCGGGGUUCGCUAUGGACUCUUUGAUCGGCGUCCUCGACGGCUUCCAUAAUCUCACCGGUCUGCCAUGGUGGAUAACAAUCUCCGCCUCCACUGUGGCCAUGCGGCUAAUCAUACUCCCCGCCCUGAUAGUACAAUUUCAUAAGACUGCUAAAAUCGGCCAACUUUUUCGAAAAUUGCCCCCUCCAUUGCCCCCUCCUCUAUCAGGAAGGAGUUAUCGUGACCAAUACUCUCUUUUCCAGAAGAAAAGGCGAGAGCUUGGUUGUCCCUCCUUUCUUUGGAAUUUUGCCUACUUUUCAGUUCAGUUCCCUUGCUUUAUACUGUGGAUGGCAAGCAUCCGGAGUAUGUGCCUCAGUAAUCACCCUGGAUUAGAUAAUGGCGGUAUUCUGUGGUUUAAUAACUUGACCGAGUUUCCACAUGGCGCUUUAGGUCCUGUUUUUCCUAUCUUAGUUGCUGGGCUCCAUUAUUUAAAUGUCCAGAUUUCCUUCCAGAAAAGCCAGGCAAAGCACUACCCUGGAGUUUUAGGUUUAUUAGCAAAGUACUACAAGAUUUACCUUGAUAUUCUGGCUAUUCCUUUGUUUCUUAUCGCAUAUGUGGUCCCUCAGGGGAGCCUGGUCUACUGGACUACCAAUGGUUUAUUUCACGUAGCUCAGCAAUUGUCCCUCAGAAAUGAUAUUGUCCGCAAGAUGUUGGGAUUGCCUGAUACUGGAGCUCUCGCUGGUAAUACAUCUCCAAAAUCUCUUCACGAGGGUCAGAAGAUAAUGCAGCGGUGGCCCCUUGGAGAUUCUCGCAUGCAAUCGAAAUUGGAAUCGUCUACAACUCCAAAGUUUAUGUUUGAGGAUAGUAAAAUAAUGGAUGAAAAUGUAUCUGCUGAGUCCAGUUCACCUGAGGAGCUUCUUCAACAAGCGUUACAAUAUUUGGGAGCUGGCUGCCAAGAUCAAGCUGUUCCGCUUAUCAGAACAGCAAUAGAGAAAAACCCAGAUCUACAUAUAGCUUUGAUUGGAAUGGGGCAAACCUUGUUCUCAAAUAAGUUGUUUCCUGAAGCCUCAGUGUGUUUUGAACAUGCUAUACCAAAGAUUGAAGAACAAGAUCCUCUUCUUGUGCUUGCGUACUUUAGUGCGGGUCUUUCACGUAAAAAUCAGGGCGAUAAGGAGACGGCAAUCAAGCUCCUGCAAAGACUAACAGAGCUCAAGGAACCAGAACAAGUGAUGAACAAAGCAUGCUAUUUCCAAGGCUUUAUUGCUCUAGGAAGUAUACUAUCAAAUGAAGGACGGAAAUCUGAGGCUGCGAAAUACCUGCGGGCGGCUACUGCUUAUGAUCCUGGUGUUGAGAGAUUUCUGAAGGAAUGUGAGGAAGCAAUGGAAGAUCAAUCAAGUCAGCAGAGCACUGGGCCACCCAACCUGAAAGGGCCGUAA
rnacentral:rRNA from 1 species